CCUGAGGCAAGUCACGUAACCUCUCCGAGCUUGAGAAGCCCCACCUGGGGGAAAAGAAAGAGAAAAGAAAAGCAUUUCCUACACCACCUCCCCGGGCUGGUGCCGUCGUGGACAUAAAAGAUAGCAAUCAUGGGUUGGUCCCUGCUUCUCAAAGCUGAAGGCAUCAGAAGACGCCUUGGAGACAGCACCCCCCUGCUACUUCACUGGGUAAACUGAGGCAUGGGGAACAAGGACAAGGAGGCACAGGGGCUGGCAGACACCUGCAGGAGCUUCCUGACAGCCCCAGCACAUCUGCUAGAACUGGAGGAGGAGGAUCCCUGGCCUGUGCACUCAGAAGGCUAGAGAGACAGGGCAGAGCCUCAGGCCGGGACUGCAGCAACCAGGGAAGCACUGAGCCUGGAGUGCCCACUGAAAACUCAGAGGCAGCCCAACCAGAGCUGCUCCCGGCUGCUCUGCAGGCUUGGCCCCAUCCCCAUUCAUGUAGUCAUUCAACAAACCAGUAAAGGUCUCAGCCACUCCCAGGUCCUAUGGAUCCCAUAGUAGGCAAAACCAGACCCAGCCAGCUGCUUCACACCCCCGCCCUCCCUGCAUACAGCGUGGUGCUCACUGCACAAAGCCUAACGCCACACCUUCCUCAUCUCCCUGGGCCAGUUCUGGAUUCUCAUCCUAAGAAUGUCACUUCCACUAAAUUCCUCAUCUCUGCUCACCCACGCAGUGCUGUUUUCUGGGGCCUUGGCCGAGCCAAGAUCCUUCUCCAUUUCACAUCCCUGAUCUCAUCUUAUAGUGGCCUGGGAGAGAGAUGCCUCAUCUCACUUUAAUGAGGAGGUGCAGCCCCCGGAAGUCCAGAGGCCGGCUCAGGGCAGGAGAGCCUGAUCUAGUCACGAGCUGCCUCUUGGCUAUUGCUGCCAGGCUGUGACACUUGGGGACUCCCAAAUAUCUUCACCUUGUUCUGGAGUCCGAGCCGGCUGUAUUGUCUCUUGGACUUAAAAGGGCUCAGAGGCACAGAGCGGGAGGUUGCCCUCCUCAGGCUGCAUAGCGGGAAAGGCGACUUUCAGACUGAACCCGUUUAAUUUGAAGGACCACAUUCUUACCACAGAGUUAAUCAGAGUGUCGAGUGUGGGCCCCCAGCUCGAGUGUCAACAAAGGCAAGCAUAGUUUGCACACGCAUUUGUAGGAGUUGGGAUAAUGUAGUGACAGCUGUCCCGUGACAACCACAAGAGAUGGGUUCAGCAGCCCCAUCAGUGUCUCUUACACAAAAUGAUGUAGCACUUGAUAGACUUGUCAAAUCUGCUGCCCUUCGACCAUUUAUCCUCUGUUAUUUUUUUAUUUUGUUUUUUUAGUUUUUUGAGACAAGUUCUUGCUCUGUAGUCCAAGUUGGCCUUGAAUUCACUAUGUAGUGCAGGCUGAUCUCAAACUCACGGCAAUCCUCCUGCCUCAGCCUUCUGGGCUGUGAGUGCUGGGAUCACAGUUGUGCACCUGGCUUACCCUCUGUUUUUCAAUGUUAUGAGUAUAAAAUAUGUACAACUAGACAGGCAUGUUGGUGCAUUUCUAUAAUCCCAGCACUCGGGGCGGGGGGGCUGGGGAAGGAAGGUCAUAACAGGGGAAACCUUCAGAGGCCUGACUAUAUUUCCAGUUUGCAGGAGGCUGAAUCUGCAGGCGCAGAGUCCACAGACACCAAGGUUGCCCAUGCCACAAGCUAGGAGGAUUCAGCAACGAAAUUUAUUUUCUCAGUUUUGGAGACCAGAAGUCUGAGAUGGAGGUGGCAGUGGGCUCGGUUCCUUCUGAGACCUCACUUCUUGGCAUGCAGGUGGCCUGGGCUUGCUGUGUCUUCACAUGGGCAGCGCUGGUCUGUGAGCUGUCCGUGUCCUCAUCUGUUUGGACGAGGACACCAGUCACAAGGAUUAUGCUGCACCCAAAAAUUUGUUUUACCUUAA